rnacentral:rRNA from 1 species
AGAGUUUGAUCAUGGCUCAGGAUAAACGCUGGCGGCGUGCUUUAUGCAUGCAAGUCGAACGGUUCUUCUGUCUUCGGAUUGAAGGAUAGUGGCAAACGGGUGAGUAACACGUAAGUAACCUACCCCUAAGUAGGGGAUAACUCUGAGAAAUCGGAGCUAAUACCGUAUGUGGUCAUUCACCACAAGGUGAGGGACUAAAGCCUUAGGGUGCUUGGGGAGGGGCUUGCGUCCGAUUAGCUAGUUGGUAGAGUAAUGGUUUACCAAGGCGGUGAUCGGUAGCUGGUCUGAGAGGAUGUACAGCCACACUGGGACUGAGACACGGCCCAGACUCCUACGGGAGGCAGCAGCAAGGAAUUUUGUGCAAUGGGCGAAAGCCUGACACAGCGACGCCGCGUGGGGGAUGAAGGCCCUAGGGUCGUAAACCCCUUUUCUCAGGGAGGAAUAAUGACAGUACCUGAGGAAUAAGUCACGGCUAACUACGUGCCAGCAGCCGCGGUAAAACGUAGGUGGCGAGCGUUAUCCGGAUUUAUUGGGCGUAAAGAGGGCGCAGGCGGCUUUUUAAGUUAGGUGUAAAAUGUCCCAGCUUAACUGGGAAGGAACAUCUAAUACUGUUAAGCUAGAGGGCAACAGAAGGAGGUAGAAUUCCCGGUGUAGUGGUGAAAUGCGUAGAUAUCGGGAGGAAUACCAGUGGCGAAGGCGGCCUCCUAGGUUGUUACUGACGCUUAAGCCCGAAAGCGUGGGGAGCAAACAGGAUUAGAUACCCUGUAGUCCACGCUGUAAACUAUGGACACUGGGUAUAGGGGGUAUCGACCCUCUCUGUGCCGAAGCUAACGCGUUAAGUGUCCCGUCUGGGGACUACGGCCGCAAGGCUAAAACUCAAAUGAAUUGACGG